rnacentral:ncRNA from 1 species
UUCACAGGUUUAUCCCGUGGCCUGAGUGGUAGAAGCAAAGCUACUUGCUAGUCACUAUUUAGUGGCGAUGUCUCCAAAUUGCGUGAAACCCGUCAUACAGCUUCAAGUACCACUUCAAUUGAGAAAUCUUUUGAAGGAACAGAGGUAACUCCUCUUCCCAAAGGUAAAAAGCUUGAAGACAUGGUGGCAAUGCGCAGCCAAGCUCCUAAGUAUUUUAAAUAUAAGGAGAAGGUUCAGAGAGCAGACGGAGAUGGGCGGUAAUUAUCGCCGCUUAAGGUGUGCUCCAGCCUCUUUCGAAAGAUUGAG